UAUCAUGGUUUUUUUUCAAUUCUAGCCAAGCCAUCUUUGACUGACCUAGUUGAUCAAGCAAAUAUGUAUUCCAUCAACAAUAUUUAAAAAAAAAAGGCAACUAUUUUGGCAAAAAAGAUAGAACAGAAAAGGAAUAGAAGUUGCUUGCUAAUGCUAACAUUAAAGAUUCUCAAAAAAACCAUGAUAGGUAGAGAGAAAAUGAAAUAAAAGGUCAAUAAGACAAAAUCUUAGGCACACUCCCUCAUUAGUCACUAUCUCUGAACAUGAAAGCUCACUCUUCAUCUUCUUCAUCCCCGUCACCAC
rnacentral:misc_RNA from 1 species